UACGAAGGGGGCUAGCGUUGUUCGGAUUUACUGGGCGUAAAGCGCACGUAGGCGGAUCUUUAAGUCAGAGGUGAAAUCCCAAGGCUCAACCUUGGAACUGCCUUUGAUACUGGGAAGCUUGAGUCCGGGAGAGGUGAGUGGAACUCCGAGUGUAGAGGUGAAAUUCGUAGAUAUUCGGAAGAACACCAGUGGCGAAGGCGGCUCACUGGCCCGGUACUGACGCUGAGGUGCGAAAGCGUGGGGAGCAAACAGG
rnacentral:rRNA from 1 species